UAACGCGUGAGGAACCUGCCUUUCAGUGGGGGACAACAGUUGGAAACGACUGCUAAUACCGCAUAACGUAUUUGUGUCGCAUGGCAUGGAUACCAAAGAUUUAUCGCUGAGAGAUGGCCUCGCGUCUGAUUAGCUAGUUGGUAGGGUAACGGCCUACCAAGGCGACGAUCAGUAGCCGGACUGAGAGGUUGGCCGGCCACAUUGGGACUGAGAUACGGCCCAGACUCCUACGGAAGGCAGCAG
rnacentral:rRNA from 1 species